rnacentral:rRNA from 1 species
GGACCCGCGUCUGAUUAGCUAGUUGGUAAGGUAACGGCUUACCAAGGCGACGAUCAGUAGCCGACCUGAGAGGGUGAUCGGCCACAUGGGAACUGAGACACGGUCCAAACUCCUACGGGAGGCAGCAGUGGGGAAUAUUGCACAAUGGGCGAAAGCCUGAUGCAGCCACGCCGCGUGAGUGAUGAAGGCCUUCGGGUCGUAAAACUCUGUCCUCAAGGAAGAUAAUGACGGUACUUGAGGAGGAAGCCCCGGCUAACUACGUGCCAGCAGCCGCGGUAAUACGUAGGGGGCUAGCGUUAUCCGGAUUUACUGGGCGUAAAGGGUGCGUAGGCGGUCUUUCAAGUCAGGAGUGAAAGGCU